rnacentral:rRNA from 1 species
AAGACCUUAUGCUUUUGGAGCGGCCGAUGUCUGAUUAGCUAGUUGGUAAGGUAAUGGCUUACCAAGGCGACGAUCAGUAGUUGGUCUGAGAGGACGGCCAGCCACACUGGGACUGAGACACGGCCCAGACUCCUACGGGAGGCAGCAGUGGGGAAUUUUGGACAAUGGGCGCAAGCCUGAUCCAGCAAUGCCGCGUGCAGGAUGAAGGCCUUCGGGUUGUAAACUGCUUUUGUACGGAACGAAACGGUCCGCCUUAAUACGGGGCUAAUGACGGUACCGUAAGAAUAAGCACCGGCUAACUACGUGCCAGCAGCCGCGGUAAUACGUAGGGUGCGAGCGUUAAUCGGAAUUACUGGGCGUAAAGCGUGCGCAGGUGGUUUUGUAAGUCAGAUGUGAAAUCCCCGGGCUUAACCUGGGAACU